AGGUCCAUAUAUUUAAAGGAUGAAGCCCAGUAAGCCUUCCCCUGGCACUAAAAAAUCCCUUGACUUGACUUUGGGUGUGAUAGCCUGUUUUGACUUACAAUCUACUUGGUCAGGGCCAGGGAGCGUUCCUGCCAUUGUUCCCCUUGUUGCUCUGGAGAUGCUGGUCCCUCAGGCUGGUCCUUGUUAGUCUAAAACACUGCCGGGAGCCAUCGGGCUGUGACCCCAGAGCCUGGCACAGCCCCACCAAGUCCAGCCAUUCCCGCAGCCCUGUCCCAGCAUUGCAGGCACUCAGAGAAAUGGGUGUCCUUUCUCUUAGACCUUAUCUGGGAUUUCUGCCAUGCCUGUGAAGCACAGCCCUCCUGUCCCAGUUGCUUUUGUGACAGCAGUACUGAAACCAAAGGCUGUGCUGUGUGGGGAGGCAGGGAGAUUUUUGCUGGUGUUUUCAGCAGAGUUAAAGUGGCACUGCCUGCUUUCUGCUGUCCUGAGCACCUGCUAGCAGGAAUCAUAGGUGCACUGCCCAUGCUUACUUUUUCCCCUCUCCUGUAACUCUUCUGCUGCUACAGCCACAGGUUGAUUUGCUGCUGCCUGCAGCCAGCACAAAGUGAUACAGACCUUGGCAAUAUGCAGGGAACAUGACUGUCUUUUAACCACUGCUACACAGGGAAGCCUCCCUUUCCAACAAGCAUCAGAUGACUUGAAGGCAAUUCUUCAGGAAAACCCUCUAUAACAGGAAAUCACAACUUGAAAAAAGACCAAACCUUUUUAAAAAAAACAAAACCACAGAAUUGUUUGCUGCCUUUCUGCUCACAAAACCAAGCAGGUUAAAGUGAUGGUAAGAUAUUUGUCCCAGGAGUUACAGGCUCUCCAGCCACUAAGUCAGCCUGAAGUGGUUCAGUGUCCAGGUCAUCCCAGGACACUGACAAGGUGAUGGCAAAUGAUUUGGCUCCCAUCCAGAGGCCUCGUGUUUCAGGCUGGUCUGUCUGUCAGGGAGGUCCUGCCAGUGCCUCAUGGCUAUCCAUCCAUUCCACCUCAGCCAAGGUCAGCCCUGCCCAGGCUGCAGGCACACCUGCCACUUAGUCCCUGGUUUCCUGCCACAGCAUGGCUCCUGCCCCAGCUGCCAGGUCUGUUGUCCAUGCCUAGUGCUGAACAGGUCCUGUGAGUCUUCCUCUUUGCCUUCCAGCCCCUGGCCACAGGGUAACACCACAGCCAGAGCACUUGCAGGUGUUUGGGCUUCAUCCCAUGCUUCCUGGGAUCUGUCUGCUCCCCAAACUCUCAUUCUUAGGACAGCAACAUCUGGGCUGACCAUUCUCCUUUUGCCUGAUUCACAUGGGGAGAGAGCUUAUUUUUCUGAAGAUGACAGACAGAAAGGCAGAAUGGCUUCCUCUCACACAUACCAGCACUGCCUCAGUUCCAGUGGUUUGGGACACCUGGAGCAGAAGCGUUAAUGUUCCUCACUUUCAUCCUGAGAAAUAUAGGACAACAGAGACUACACCGUAGUUAGAAACUCUGCUAUAAGGUCUGACCCAUUUUUGUCCUCCGAAAGCAAUCUAACAUCUGCUCUCAGUAUUUCUGUGUGCCAUUUCAGAAAUAUCUUUGGAAGAGCACUGCUAAUUCAUGCCCUGCCUACUUUCAAAUCAUAUUAUUUCAGACUCUAGUUUAUAUAUGCUUGGGGAUGGAUCUUUAUGUAAACUAAAACUUACACUGAAUAUUAUCUUGGGCAUAAAUUCAGUAGCAAAAUGGACUUGCACCUGGCACUUAAAUCUCCGCUCAGUCCAUCUGUCCUGCAGAUCCUGCUGCGGCUAAGUGAGAAAAAAUCUUUGUUGUUCUGUGCUGAGGCAAUUUUUUGGAGGCUCUUGGAGGUGGUGAGGAGAAAGGGCUUGGAAAAAUGUCUCCCAUUGCUCCUCAACCAGUACAGGCAGCAGGCAAGCCAGACCUGUGGGCUUGGUGGGGCAUGGGAAGGAGAAACAAUGGAAAUGCCAGACAUUGCUUCAGUGUCAAGACCUGGAACCGAUGAACAGCAAUCCCUGUGAUUAACCACCAAGGGAACCUCUUCAGCACUGUACAGUCAAGAGGCAGAGGGGUUUGACUCCAUGUAUCAGGGGCUUUCAUGCCCUGGAAGAAGAAAAUAAAAUCCUUGUAGAUCCGCUAUGCCAACACGAGGCCUGGGAGGCCUGGUGGCUCUCAGAGGCCACUGCUAAAACUCUUGUUUCUGAGUGAGAAGUUUUUGUUCUGCAGAUAUUCUCUGCCAACAAAUAUUCCUCUAAUUGGAGAGCCAUCAAAAAUGCUGGCUCUGCUUAUUUUAGAGUCCAUCUUUGACCUUUACCACAAUGAAAUACUUCUACUGAUGUUCCACCAGAGGCUAUAAAACAUCUGGCCUGACUGUGCACCAAAGAGCUGGAAUUUUCUAGCCAUUUCAGUGGCUAGAAAUUUAGUGGCAUUGACCCCAAACUACAAUUUAUCUGCACCAUUUAUGAGUCCCCUGGAAGCCAUCUGGCCUGAGAUGCUGGGGGCAGCUUGAUACAUUGAGUAAACCUAGUCCACACCUGGGAGAAUGGAGAAACCUGAUUUUGAAGGAAGAACUCCAGUCUUACGUAGAAUAAUGCAGCAGCCUUCAAGGCAGGGCAGUGAGAUUGAAGGAUGUCUGCCCUUUCACACACCCUUCCCGCACUGUGUCACUGCUGGGUGGCAAAGCAAUGGGGAAAGGCAGGAGAGAUGUAGAUAGCCAGGCAGGAUGACGCCAGUUCCCCCUCAGAGGCUGCGUUUCACUGCCACUGUGGCUGUGCCCCUGCCCCUCCAAAUCCCCCAGGGGCCCCAAGCAGUACGGAAGGGAGCCAGGUGCAGGGGUUAUUUACUUGGACAAACAAAAGCAGUGACUUUCGGCAGGCCUGGGAGCAGCAGUGAGGAGAAGACACCUGCAUGUCAGCAGGUGGGCUCAGCUGCUGCAGUGCUGCACUUGCUGCAGCUGCAAAAGGCACAUCCCUGCCUUGGCUCAGGGUACCCCCAAAAUACGCAACCAGCAGAUGGUGCCUUGCCCCACACCCUUAUUUUCUGACUCUGUUCCUUCCCGUCUCUUCUCCACAGACCAUGGGUCUGCUGGCUGGUUAGGCUGGAGUGGACUGGAUAUAAAUUCUAUGUAAUUUUCUUGAAGAGCAAACAGCACUUGACCUUGUUUCUCUCUUGGUGGGCUGCCAGGAAGGUCAGCUGCCCAGCAACAUUUUUGGUGGUGGCAACCAUAGCGGUGAGGCAUCGCAAUAUGUUCAAACUCACAUCUAAUUCCCUGUGUGUUCUGCUACAGAUGAAUAGACAAAAGACCUCCUGGGCAGAGAGGGGGGCCCUGCUCCACCAGAGUUUGGAUUUUUCACUGUCAGCCAAGCAGAGGAUCCAAACUCCAACAAUAAGCUCCCUGCUCCAGACGAAAAACAUUUAUAACCUCUCCAAGCCAGGCUCUGGCAGGGCAAUACAAACUGUGAGCUCCACAAGCUAAUGACCUUGAAAGUAUCCAUUUAUCUUGGCCUUUCCCCCCAGCUUGAGAUGCCACAGAAAAUGUGAGGCUUGCUUUCUUCUUUCCAUUACUUUUUUUCUUUUCCUUUUUGAGCGAGAGGAAUGAAUAUUCAGGGAAUGCAGGCAAUAUGGAAAUUGCUCCGUUUCACCUCUCUGGCUGGAGCUCAGCACUGAGACCACAGUGGAAAUCAAGGCUGAGGGGCAAUUGGUCCUGGUAUUCUAGAAGGGCAAUCGGUGGCAAAGACACAUCACUGCUUUGCCUCCGUUACCUGAUUGCUCCACAUUGGCUCUUCCUUCAUUAAUCUUCAUCAAUAAACAAUAUUUACAACCAUCAAAACCCAAUCCUUUGAGCCCAUUGUUCUUAUUCACUAAAGGCAUCUUAUAACUUGGUGUGAUGUGACAGCCUGAACUGCAUUAAAAUCCAGACAACAGGUUAGAAACAUCCCUGGAACAAAUGGAGCUGGUGCACCGUAAAUGUUUUUUCCUCAGGGAGAGCAGUGACUCCCUGGAGUGUGUUACUUUUCAAAGUCAGUGUCUGUUUUCUAUGCAUUGCCACUGUACAGAAUCCAUUGCAUGCCACAGCAGGGUGCUCCCUUUUUUAUGGGAUAUACAACUUGGGUGUAAAAUAAUCCCACAUCAUUUCCUUUGGUGUUUGGUACAGACAGCUUAAAGUAAAAAGGGAAGUCACACAAAGCAGCUGACAACGGGCACAGGCAGAAGCUGCUACUAGGAAACAUCCUUCUACUUACAGGGGGGAAAAAAAUAUUUGCCAAGAUGUUUUCUGAUUGCUGAAUGUUUUAGUUCUCUUACAGAUGUGGUGGGAUCCAACCACUUUAUUUGCAGAUAUUCUGCAGUAGAUCUGGCUGCUGCUCUGCAGCACCUGCAGGCUGGGGCCUGCCUCUCACCUUUGUUCUCAGCCAGUAGAGCUGUCUGCUGGGACGAGCAUUUGGUCUCCAGAGAGAAUUUGCUGGCUGCUGCCUUUGAAGCAAGCACCAGCUCGUGUUUCCAUUUUAGGCAUACAUGUAAUGUACAUCUUUGCUUACUGGGCACACUGCAAUGCAAUCCAGCCUCAGGAAUUCUUGGCUUCCCUCUGGAUUUUGAUGACUUUAUGAAAGGUGGUGUUGCACUGAAGGGGUCCAUGGUAGUCAUCUCCUGACUCACUGCCAGCAGGAUGGAGACUCAUGAUGACUUAAAGAGUAGAAGUUUUGUUCCAGGAGACAUACUCCCAGAGCUGCCUGACUAGUGCCAUCACUGGACGAGUGGGUAGAGGAUCAGACAUACCAAGGACACGGGACUCAGUGUGACCCUACAUUGCAGUCUGCAAGCCAGUGAACCGCAGACUUUCCUACAAACACCUCCUUCUAAUUCCUCCACCGAAGGAGCAACCAGGAACUCUCACUGCUACCAAAAUGAAGCCAGAGUCUUGCACAUCCAUAGUUCUGGGUUAGAAAACAUAAGCCCCAGGUGAAGUGCAUUUGGAAGAUCUCUGCCAUCUGAUGUGAAUGAAGACCCCUGUCACAAAGUCAUCUGUAUGACCUACUUGCUUCUCACUGCUAAGGAAUUGUCCAGGACUCAUGUAACAACUUCAAACUCAGGCACAUUCCUCGAGCUGUGUGAGGAAGCUUGCACAUUGCCUGACCACAUUAUAUCUGCCUCUAGGCAGUGUUAUCACUCCUUCCCUUCCAUAUGCUU